rnacentral:rRNA from 1 species
GGAGGGGGCUAGCGUUGUUCGGAAUUACUGGGCGUAAAGGGCGCGUAGGCGGUAUGCCAUGUCAGGGGUGAAAGGCCUGGGCUCAACCCAGGAACUGCCUUUGAAACUGGCAAACUAGAGUCCGAUAGAGGAUGGCGGAAUUCCCAGUGUAGAGGUGAAAUUCGUAGAUAUUGGGAAGGACACCAGUGGCGAAGGCGGCCAUCUGGAUCGGCACUGACGCUGAGGCGCGAAAGCGUGGGGAGCAAACAGGGAUUAGAUACCCUGGUAGUCCACGCCGUAAACGAUGUGUGCUAGACGUUGGGGGCCCUUAGGCCCUGGGUGUCGCAGCUAACGCGUUAAGCACACCGCCUGGGGGAGUACGGCCGCAAGGUUA